GAGAUAGAUAGGUGCCUUCGGGAACAUUGAGACAGGUGCUGCAUGGGCUGUCGUCAGCUCGUGUCGUGAGAUGUUGGGUUAAGUCCCGUAACGAGCGCAACCCUUGUCCUUAGUUACCAGCACGUAAUGGUGGGCACUCUAAGGAGACUGCCGGUGACAAACCGGAGGAAGGUGGGGAUGACGUCAAGUCAUCAUGGCCCUUACGGCCUGGGCUACACACGUGCUACAAUGGUCGGUACAGAGGGUUGCCAAGCCGCGAGGUGGAGCUAAUCCCAGAAAACCGAUCGUAGUCCGGAUCGCAGUCUGCAACUCGACUGCGUGAAGUCGGAAUCGCUAGUAAUCGCGAAUCAGAAUGUCGCGGUGAAUACGUUCCCGGGCCUUGUACACACCGCCCGUCACACCAUGGG
rnacentral:rRNA from 1 species